UACAGAGGGUGCGAGCGUUAAUCGGAAUUACUGGGCGUAAAGCGUGCGUAGACGGUCAAGUAAGUCGGGUGUGAAAGCCCCGGGCUCAACCUGGGAAUUGCAUUCGAGACUGCGUGGCUAGGGUGCGGAAGAGGGAAGCGGAAUUUCCGGUGUAGCGGUGAAAUGCGUAGAUAUCGGAAGGAACACCAGUGGCGAAAGCGGACUUCCUGGUCCAGCACCGACGUUCAG
rnacentral:rRNA from 1 species